rnacentral:rRNA from 1 species
ACUAUUGUCACGGGUUACCGCGGCUGCUGGCACGGAGUUAGCCGGUGCUUCUUCUGUGAGUGAUGUCCUUCCUGCCGGCUAUUAACCCGCAGGCCUUCUUCCUCACUGAAAGUGCUUUACAACCCGAAGGCCUUCUUCACACACGCGGCAUGGCUGGAUCAGGGUUGCCCACAUUGUCCAAUAUUCCCCACUGCUGCCUCCCGUAGGAGUCUGGGCCGUGUCUCAGUCCCAGUGUGGCUGAUCAUCCUCUCAGACCAGCUACGGAUCGUCGCCUUGGUGAGCCGUUACCUCACCAACAGCUAAUCCGACAUAGGCUCAUCCGAUAGCGCGAGCCCGAAGGUCCCCCG